GGCUGGUCCAAGUAGAAUGAUUUUUACAACGAAUUGAUCACAACCAGUUACAGAUGUCUUUGUUCCUUCUCCACUCCCACUGCUUCACCUGACUAGCCUUUA
ensembl:Y_RNA Y_RNA Y RNA